UACAGAGGUCUCAAGCGUUGUUCGGAUUCAUUGGGCGUAAAGGGUGCGUAGGUGGCGGGGUAAGUCUGAUGUGAAAUCUCCGAGCUUAACUCGGAAAGGUCAACUGAUACUGUGCGACUAGAGUGCAGAAGGGGCAACUGGAAUUCUCGGUGUAGCGGUGAAAUGCGUAGAUAUCGAGAGGAACACCUGCGGCGAAGGCGGGUUGCUGGGCUGACACUGACGCUGAUGCGCGAAAGCCAGGGGAGCGAACGGG
rnacentral:rRNA from 1 species